rnacentral:rRNA from 1 species
UCAGGUGGUUAUAGCGAUGGGGUUCCACCUCUUCCCAUUCCGAACAGAGAAGUUAAGCCCAUUAGCGCCGAUGGU